rnacentral:rRNA from 1 species
AUUGAACGCUGGCGGCAGGCCUAACACAUGCAAGUCGAACGAGUGGCGGACGGGAGAGUAAUGUCUGGGAAACUGCCUGAUGGAGGGGGAUCACUACUGGAAACGGUAUCUAAUACCGCAUACCAUUAGAUGUUCCCCGAUGGGAUUAGCUGGUGGGUUGGGUAACGGCUCACAAAGGUGACGAACCCUAGCUGGUCUUAGAGGAGGACCAGCCACACUGGAACGGAGACACGGUCCAGACUCCUACGGGAGGAAGCAGUGGGGAAUAUUGCACAAUGGGCGAAAGCCUGAUGCAGCCAUGCCGCGUGUAUGAAGAAGGCCUUCGGUUUGUAAAGUACUUUCAGCGGGGAGGCGUUACCCGCAGAAGAAGCACCGGCUAACUCCGUGCCAGCAGCCGCGGUAAUAC